rnacentral:rRNA from 1 species
AAACCAGGAUUAGAUACCCUAUUAUAAAAAUUUAAAUUAAUUUACUAAAAAAUUAAUAGUUAUGUUCUUUAAAUUUAAAAAAUUUGGCGGUAUUUUAGUCUUAUUAGAGGAACCUGUUUAUUAAUUGAUAAUCCACGAUUAAUUUUACUUAUUUUAAAUAAUUCAUAUAUCGCUGUCAUGAAUAUAUUUAAAAGUUUAUUUUCUUUAUUUAUUUUUAUAAUUUAUGUUAAGUCAAGAUGUGGUUUAUAAAUAAGUAUAUAAUGGGUUACAUUAAAUUUUAUUUUUGGAUUUAAAAUGAAAAUUAAAAUGAAAUUGGAUUUAAUAGUAAAUUUAUUUAU